rnacentral:rRNA from 1 species
CCUACGGGCGGCAGCAGUGAGGAAUAUUGGUCAAUGGGCGCGAGCCUGAACCAGCCAAGUAGCGUGAAGGAUGACUGCCCUACGGGUUGUAAACUUCUUUUAUACAGGAAUAAAGUGAAGCACGUGUACCUUUUUGUGUGUACUUUAUUGAUAAGGGUCGGCUAACUCCGUGCCAGCAGCCGCGGUAAUCCGGUGGAUCCGAGCGUUAUCCGGAUUUAUUGGGUUUAAAGGGAGCGUAGAUGGGUUGUUAAGUCAGUUGUGAAAGUUUGCGGCUUAACCUUAAAAUUGCAAUUGAUACUGGCAGGCUGGAGUACAGUUGAGGUAGGCGGAAUUCGUGGUGUAGCGGUGAAAUGCUUAGAGAUCACGAAGAACUCCGAUUGCGAAGGCAGCUUACUAAACUGACACUGACAUUGAUGCGCGAAAGUGUGGGUAUCAAACAGGAUUAGAUACCCUUGUAGUC